AUAAUGGGUCAGCGACUUAUAUUCUGUAGCAAGGUUAACCGAAUAGGGGAGCCGAAGGGAAACCGAGUCUUAACUGGGCGUUAAGUUGCAGGGUAUAGACCCGAAACCCGGUGAUCUAGCCAUGGGCAGGUUGAAGGUUGGGUAACACUAACUGGAGGACCGAACCGACUAAUGUUGAAAAAUUAGCGGAUGACUUGUGGCUGGGGGUGAAAGGCCAAUCAAACCGGGAGAUAGCUGGUUCUCCCCGAAAGCUAUUUAGGUAGCGCCUCGUGAAUUCAUCUCCGGGGGUAGAGCACUGUUUCGGCAAGGGGGUCAUCCCGACUUACCAACCCGAUGCAAACUGCGAAUACCGGAGAAUGUUAUCACGGGAGACACACGGCGGGUGCUAACGUCCGUCGUGAAGAGGGAAACAACCCAGACCGCCAGCUAAGGUCCCAAAGUCAUGGUUAAGUGGGAAACGAUGUGGGAAGGCCCAGACAGCCAGGAUGUUGGCUUAGAAGCAGCCAUCAUUUAAAGAAAGCGUAAUAGCUCACUGGUCGAGUCGGCCUGCGCGGAAGAUGUAACGGGGCUAAACCAUGCACCGAAGCUGCGGCAGCGACGCUGAUG
rnacentral:rRNA from 1 species